UAUUAGACUUGCUCCAAGUCUCUCUUUCAUUGUCAUAUAGUAUCGGUCCACUGUAUCAUGUAAUGUACACUAUAGUGGGUCGAUAUGACAUUGAAAGUGAGACUUGGAGCAAGUCUAUUG